GACGAACGCUGGCGGCGUGCCUAAUACAUGCAAGUAGAACGCACAGUUUAUACCGUAGCUUGCUACACCAUAGACUGUGAGUUGCGAACGGGUGAGUAACGCGUAGGUAACCUGCCUGGUAGCGGGGGAUAACUAUUGGAAACGAUAGCUAAUACCGCAUAAUAUUGAUUAUUGCAUGAUAAUUGAUUGAAAGAUGCUAUUGCAUCACUACCAGAUGGACCUGCGUUGUAUUAGCUAGUAGGUGAGGUAACGGCUCACCUAGGCGACGAUACAUAGCCGACCUGAGAGGGUGAUCGGCCACACUGGGACUGAGACACGGCCCAGACUCCUACGGGAGGCAGCAGUUGGGAAUCGUCGGCAAUGGACGAAAGUCUGACCGAGCAACGCCGCGUGAGUGAAGAAGGUUUUCGGAUCGGAAAGCUCUGUUGUAAGAGAAGAACGGGUGUGAGAGUGGAAAGUUCACACUGUGACGGUAUCUGACCAGAAAGGGACGGCUAACUACGUG
rnacentral:rRNA from 1 species